GCGGGCGUCGUAUAAUGGCUAUUAUAUUUCCCUUCCAAGGAAAUGAUGUGGGUUCGAUUCCCAUCGCCCGCU
rnacentral:tRNA from 1 species